rnacentral:rRNA from 1 species
UGGGGAAUUUUGGACAAUGGGCGAAAGCCUGAUCCAGCCAUUCCGCGUGCAGGAUGAAGGCCCUCGGGUUGUAAACUGCUUUUGUACAGAACGAAAAGGUUUCUACUAAUACUAGGAGCUCAUGACGGUACUGUAAGAAUAAGCACCGGCUAACUAC